AUUGAACGCUGGCGGCAGGCUUAACACAUGCAAGUCGAGCGGAGAGAGGUAGCUUGCUACUGAUCUUAGCGGCGGACGGGUGAGUAAUGCUUAGGAAUCUGCCUAUUAGUGGGGGACAACAUUUCGAAAGGAAUGCUAAUACCGCAUACGUCCUACGGGAGAAAGCAGGGGAUCUUCGGACCUUGCGCUAAUAGAUGAGCCUAAGUCGGAUUAGCUAGUUGGUGGGGUAAAGGCCUACCAAGGCGACGAUCUGUAGCGGGUCUGAGAGGAUGAUCCGCCACACUGGGACUGAGACACGGCCCAGACUCCUACGGGAGGCAGCAGUGGGGAAUAUUGGACAAUGGGCGAAAGCCUGAUCCAGCCAUGCCGCGUGUGUGAAGAAGGUCUUCGGAUUGUAAAGCACUUUAAGUCGGGAGGAAGGGCUGCAGGUUAAUACCUUGCAGCCUUGACGUUACCGACAGAAUAAGCACCGGCUAACUUCGUGCCAGCCGCCGCCGUAACAC
rnacentral:rRNA from 1 species